rnacentral:rRNA from 1 species
CCUACGGGUGGCAGCAGUGAGGAAUAUUGGUCAAUGGACGCAAGUCUGAACCAGCCAUGCCGCGUGCAGGAAGACGGCUCUAUGAGUUGUAAACUGCUUUUGUACGGGGGUAAAACCCGAUACGUGUAUCGGGUUGAAAGUACCGUACGAAUAAGGAUCGGCUAACUCCGUGCCAGCAGCCGCGGUAAUACGGAGGAUGCGAGCGUUAUCCGGAUUUAUUGGGUUUAACGGGGGCGCAGGCGGAUGUUUAAGUCAGCGGUCAAAUCGUGGGGCUAAACCCCAGCAAGCCGUUGAAACUGGGGAUCUAGAGUGUACGAGAGGUAUGCGGAAUGCGUGGUGUAGCGGUGAAAUGCAUAGAUAUCACGAAGAACCCCGAUUGCGAAGGCAGCAUACCGGUGCACAACUGACGCUCAGGCACGAAAGCGUGGGUAUCGAACAGGAUUAGAUACCCCUGUAGUC